UACGGGGGGGGCAAGCGUUGUUCGGAAUUACUGGGCGUAAAGGGCUCGUAGGCGGCCAACUAAGUCAUACGUGAAAUCCCUCGGCUUAACCGGGGAACUGCGUCUGAUACUGGAUGGCUUGAGUUCGGGAGAGGGAUGCGGAAUUCCAGGUGUAGCGGUGAAAUGCGUAGAUAUCUGGAGGAACACCGGUGGCGAAGGCGGCAUCCUGGACCGAUACUGACGCUGAGGCGCGAAAGCGUGGGUAGCAAACGGG
rnacentral:rRNA from 1 species